rnacentral:lncRNA from 1 species
AAACAUGAUCAAUGAGGUGCCAAACAUUUUGAGACAUCUGGGGUCUGUAGAACUAGUCCUUAUAGGACAGUUCUAUGAGAUAAUGCAAUACCAACAAUAUUUGCUCUUACUGGUCAUUUGAACAACCCACCUAGUAGACCCAGAAAACGAAUAAAAGAAUUGUUGAUGAAACUUCUGAACAGGAACAAAAACAUAAAGAAACCAACAACAGCAAUGCUCCGAACCCCAGUAAAGAAGGGAGUGAAGGGCCAGAUGAGGACAUUUUACCUCUAACCCUUGAAAAGAAGGAAAACAAAGGAUACCUAAAAUCUCUGUUUGAAAUCUUGAUUCUGAUGGGAAAGCAAAACAUACCUCUUGAUGGACAGGAGGCUGAUGAAAUCCCAGAAGGUCUCUUUACUCCAGAUAACGUGCAAGCCGUGCUGGAGUGCUGGAUAAAUUCUGGUCAAGAGGUCCUGAGAAAGCAGUUUGAGACAACAGCAGUUAACAUGUUGUUUUAUUAAAAACACAGCAGAGGCAGAUGCUAGAGAUCUGUGAGAGCUGCAUUCGGGAAGAAUGCAGGGAAGUGAGAGACUCACACUUCUUUUCCAUUAUAACUGACGAUGUAGCGGACAUGGCAGGGGAAGGGCACCUACCUAUGUUGGUGAGAUUUGUUGAUGAGUCUCGGUGAGGUUUGUUGAUGAGUCUCAAAACAUAAGAGGGGAAUUUGUAGGCUUCCUGCCUUAUGAAGCUGAUGCAGAAGUUUUGGCUGUGAAAUUUCACACUAUGAUAGCUGAGAAAUGGGGAUUAAAUAUGGAGUACUGUCAUGACCAAGCUUACAUUUUGUCUACUGGAUUUUCUUCCAAAAUGAAAGUUGUUGCUUCUAGACUUUUAGAGAAAUAUCCCCAAGCUAUCUACCCACUCUGCUCUUCCUGCGUCUUAAAUAUGUGGUUGGUAAAAUCAGUACCUGUUAUGGGAGUAUCUGUUGCAUCAGGAACAAUUGACGGAGUUUGUUCUUUUUUUCCAUCAAUCACCACAACUGCUUUUAGAAUUUGACAAUGUAAUUUCUGUUCUUUUUCAGAACAGUAAAGAAAGGGACAAAGAACUGAAGGAACUCUGCCAUUCUCAGUGGACAGGCAGGCAUGAUGUUUUUGAAAUUGUAGUGGAACUUCUGCAAGCAUUUGUUUUAUGUUUAGAUGAUAUAAAUAGUGACACAAAUAUUAGAUGGAAUAACUGUAGCUGGCUGAGCAUUUGUACUCUGCAGUGCAGUAACAGAUUUUGACUUCAUUGUUACUAUUGUUGUUCUUAAAAAUGUCCUAUCUUUUACCAGAGCCUUUGGGAAAAAUCUCCAGGGGCAAACCUUUGAUGUCUUCUUUGCAGCCAGUAGCUUGACUGCAGCACUGCGUUCACUCAGUGAAGUGACGGAGAAUAUUGAAGUUUAUCAGGAAUUUUGAUUUGAGGAAGCCACAAAUUUGGCAACCAAACUUGAUAUUCAAAUGAAACUCCCUGGGAAAUAUUGCAGAGCUUACCAGCGUAACUUGGAAUCUCAGCUAACCUCUGAGAGUUACUAUAAAGAAAUCCUAAGUGUCCCAACAGUGGAGCACAUUAUUCAGGAACUUAAAGAUAUAAUCGCAGAACAGCACCUCCAAGCUCGUAAAUGCUUAUCUCUGGUACCCUCAGUCAUGGGACAACUCAAAUUCAAUACAUCGGAGGAACACCAUGCUGACAUGUAUAGAAAUGACUUACCCAAUCCCGACAUGCUCUCAGCCGAGCUUCAUUGUUGGAGAAUCAAAUGGAAAUGGGGAAAGACACAGAGCUUCUGUCCACCAUUUAUGAAGCCCUCCAUCUGCCUGACAUCAAGUUUUUUCCUAAUGUGUAUGCUAAAUGACCUAUUGCCAAAGGUCCUGUGUAUUUCUCCUGUGAUGAAGGUUGAGAAUGAGCAGUAUGAAAAUGGACGAAAGCAUCUUAAAGCAUACUUGAGGAACACUUUGACAGACCAAAGGUCAAGUAACUUGGCUUAGAUUAACAUAAAUUUUGAUAUAAAACAUGACCUGGAUUUAUUGGUGGACACAUAUAUUAAACUCUGUAACAGUAAGUCAGAGCUUCCCACAGAUAAUUCAGAAACCAUGGAAAAUACCU